rnacentral:rRNA from 1 species
AACGAACGCUGGCGGCAGGCUUAACACAUGCAAGUCGAACGGGUGUAGCAAUACAUCAGUGGCAGACGGGUGAGUAACACGUGGGAACCUUCCUAGGGGUACGGAACAACUCAGGGAAACUUGAGCUAAUACCGUAUACGUCCGUGAGGAGAAAGAUUUAUCGCCCUUAGACGGGCCCGCGUCGGAUUAGCUAGUUGGUGGGGUAACGGCCUACCAAGGCGACGAUCCGUAGCUGAUCUGGGAGGAUGAUCAGCCACACUGGGACUGAGACACGGGCCAGACUCCUACGGGAGGCAGCAGUGGGGAAUCUUGGACAAUGGGCGCAAGCCUGAUCCAGCCAUGCCGCGUGAGUGAAGAAGGCCUUCGGGUUGUAAAGCUCUUUUGCCAGGGACGAUAAUGACGGUACCUGGAGAAUAAGCCCCGGCAAACUUCGUGCCAGCCGCCGCAGUAA